rnacentral:rRNA from 1 species
AUUGAACGCUGGCGGCAGGCCUAACACAUGCAAGUCGAGCGGAUGAAGGGAGCUUGCUCCUGGAUUCAGCGGCGGACGGGUGAGUAAUGCCUAGGAAUCUGCCUGGUAGUGGGGGAUAACGACCGGAAACGGGCGCUAAUACCGCAUACGUCCUGAGGGAGAAAGUGGGGGAUCUUCGGACCUCACGCUAUCAGAUGAGCCUAGGUCGGAUUAGCUAGUUGGUGGGGUAAAGGCCUACCAAGGCGACGAUCCGUAACUGGUCUGAGAGGAUGAUCAGUCACACUGGAACUGAGACACGGUCCAGACUCCUACGGGAGGCAGCAGUGGGGAAUAUUGGACAAUGGGCGAAAGCCUGAUCCAGCCAUGCCGCGUGUGUGAAGAAGGUCUUCGGAUUGUAAAGCACUUUAAGUUGGGAGGAAGGGCAGUAAGUUAAUACCUUGCUGUUUUGACGUUACCAACAGAAUAAGCACCGGCUAACUUCGUG